rnacentral:sRNA from 1 species
AGUACAGUUCAAUUCCUUUCUAAAUACAAGCCAAAAAUACCCAUUAGUUAUUGAUCUUUUAAAUACUUUAAAAACUAAAGAAAGUCUUUUCUAGUUGAAGAUAGUUUUGAUUAUAAAAUAUAUUUUGCAUUGUAAAAAUCUAUCCAUACAUGAUCGUAUCUGACGGAUGAUAGAUUACAUUACUUCAAAUUAUUUUCAUUCAUAUCUUGUGUUGGGGGUUUGGAUUGGUUCGUCCCCUUUACUACCAGCAUGGCGCUGAUGUGGGAGAGCUCUUUUGCCCCAGUGGCCUAACAUCUUGUUCUUUUGCAGAUAUACACGUGGAACUUAAAAAGUAUGGUUGAAAAUCGAAUUUAAUAGUAUGUGAUAAAAGAACUAGUUUUAAUUCUAUAAAAUUUAUCCUGGAACUUAAUAAUAAGUUAGUAACAAGUCAAUGUAAAGAAUCUUUUAAUUUGAACCGAUGUAUGUAGAGA